GAGAGGCCCAAACGUUAUUCGGAUUUACUGGGCUUAAAGAGUUCGUAGGCGGUCCGUCAAGUGGGGUGUGAAAGCCCUCGGCUCAACCGAGGAAUUGCGCUCCAAACUGUCGGGCUCGAGGGAGAUAGAGGUGAGCGGAACUGAUGGUGGAGCGGUGAAAUGCGUUGAUAUCAUCAGGAACACCAGAGGCGAAGGCGGCUCACUGGGUCUCUUCUGACGCUGAGGAACGAAAGCUAGGGGAGCAAACGGGAUUAGAUACCCCGGUAGUCCUAGCCGUAAACGAUGAGCACUGGACCGGAGCUCUGCACAGGGUUUCGGUCGUAGCGAAAGUGUUAAGUGCUCCGCCUGGGGAGUAUGGUCGCAAGGCUG
rnacentral:rRNA from 1 species